rnacentral:rRNA from 1 species
AGAGUUUGAUCAUGGCUCAGAUUGAACGCUGGCGGAAUGCUUUACACAUGCAAGUCGAACGAUGAACCUUAGCUUGCUAAGGGGAUUAGUGGCGAACGGGUGAGUAAUAUAUCGGAACGUGCCUUGUAAUGGGGGAUAACUAGUCGAAAGAUUAGCUAAUACCGCAUACGCCCUGAGGGGGAAAGUAGGGGAUCUUCGGACCUUACGUUAUAAGAGCGGCCGAUAUCUGAUUAGCUAGUUGGUGGGGUAAUGGCCUACCAAGGCUUCGAUCAGUAGCUGGUCUGAGAGGACGACCAGCCACACUGGAACUGAGACACGGUCCAGACUCCUACGGGAGGCAGCAGUGGGGAAUUUUGGACAAUGGGCGCAAGCCUGAUCCAGCCAUUCCGCGUGAGUGAAGAAGGCCUUCGGGUUGUAAAGCUCUUUCGCAAGGGAAGAAAACUUACUUUCUAAUAAAGAGUGAGGCUGACGGUACCUUGAUAAGAAGCACCGGCUAACUACGUGCCAGCAGCCGCGGUAAUACGUAGGGUGCGAGCGUUAAUCGGAAUUACUGGGCGUAAAGCGUGCGCAGGCGGUUUGGCAAGUCAGAUGUGAAAUCCCCGAGCUCAACUUGGGAACUGCGUUUGAAACUGCCAGACUAGAAUAUGUCAGAGGGGGGUAGAAUUCCACGUGUAGCAGUGAAAUGCGUAGAGAUGUGGAGGA